UGUGGCAUCAUGAUUCAAGGUGGAAGGAAAAGUCGAUACAGUCUCAGAUGGUGAAACAGAUGCAUUUGAACCAACAUCCGGAGAAAGGCGUGUGAAGGAAAAACCAGAGAUGGCAUUAAGAGAGGAAGGACUUUCGCCCAAUAAGGGACGAUUAGAAAGAAAAUGUUGAAACAUUUGAAAUUUUGAGGUAGUGGGGGAAGAUGAGGAAGAAAAUUUGGAAAGACAAGAGUAAGAAAAAAUAGUUUCAACAAAAGUAACAUGGAGAGAAAUAAAAA
rnacentral:lncRNA from 1 species